AAAGAACCGAUCCCCACUCUCUAAAAUUCUCUCUCUAAAAAUUCCGGUGAGAUGGUCGCCGUAAGUUCAUUUACCGGCGAAUAUCCCGGCACAAUAGUUACCUGAGAUCGGAUCGAAACUUACUUCACUCCAGCAAUGGAAGCAUCACCACACUGGUUUUGCUCUCCGGCGACGCUAAUUUGCAGCUAGCAGAAAUAAGUAGCUGGUUUUCCGGAAACUUGUUAUGCGCGAUGAAGGAGAUAUCAUUAGCUCACUCGUCUUGGUUUAAUCUUUCUUUCGACUGUAAAUGCGUAAAACAGACUCAUUUGAUGUAGGGAUUGGGGAAUGAGGUUGUUGUAUUAAGUUGAAUCUGUUCUUGCUCUUCAAAGGGUGUAUUGCUGUAAUGGUUUUAAAGGGGUUCAGUUGUAUCCCCCCUUAUUGGAAAUUAUACUAUUGCAAAUAGGAUAAAAAUGUCAUUUUUUUGGUGUGUA